AUCUCACUCCUUUUUUCUAUAUAUUUUUCAGGCUUAGGACAGUUUGUAGAUAGUCGAGUAGGACGAAAACUAAGCUCGGAACUGCAUUAUAGAAAGUUUUGAGGUGCACUGGUGACAUACACACCAUAUCUAGGAGAGACGGUAGUCCCGACGCCUCUCAUAGUAUUAGUGAGGGAUCUCUAGAUUCUACUGUUAGGAGCCGAUGGCAGCCCGAACCGAGUAGUCCAAAAAGUGCAGAUAGUAAUAAUAUUAAUGUAAGCAUAAGAGGUUCCCUUUUGAGAGAAUCUAAGGAAUAUACUAAAGAAAGGGAAAAUUAAGGAUAGCCGAAGGAGGUAUUCGUUCUAGGAAGAGUGUGAGAGUAGUCCGACACUUUCCACCAGGCUGUGGGAGAAAUGUAAGGGGACAACCAGAAAAGGAUAAGGAGAAAAUAACAGUGGCAAGUAGACCCCUUAGAAAAGUGUCAAGUGUACGACAUUUUCCUCCCGGUUGUGGAAGAAAUGCUGCACCCGUGAGUGAUGAAGAGUAUAGGAGAAUACAACAAGCUUGGAUUGAGGAGCAAAGGAAAAAAAUCUCAAGAGGAGGAAAACCCGGAAGAGGAUCUUCAGGAGGACUCGGAGUA